rnacentral:rRNA from 1 species
AAUGAACGCUGGCGGCAUGCCUAACACAUGCAAGUCGAACGAGACCUUCGGGUCUAGUGGCGCACGGGUGCGUAACGCGUGGGUAUCUGCCCUUGGGUUCGGAAUAACAGUUAGAAAUGACUGCUAAUACCGGAUGAUGUCGUAAGACCAAAGAUUUAUCGCCCAAGGAUGAGCCCGCGUAGGAUUAGCUAGUUGGUGAGGUAAAAGCUCACCAAGGCGACGAUCCUUAGCUGGUCUGAGAGGAUGAUCAGCCACACUGGGACUGAGACACGGCCCAGACUCCUACGGGAGGCAGCAGUGGGGAAUAUUGGACAAUGGGCGAAAGCCUGAUCCAGCAAUGCCGCGUGAGUGAUGAAGGCCUUAGGGUUGUAAAGCUCUUUUACCCGGGAUGAUAAUGACAGUACCGGGAGAAUAAGCUCCGGCUAACUUCGUGCCAGCCGCCGCCGUAAUAC